rnacentral:lncRNA from 1 species
GAUCUUCUUCUUCAAAGAAGAGGAUCCAAAAUUCCAUGGCUCCUUCCUAAUCACAAGCGACCAGCACCCCUAGAACUACUGCCAUCAACUAUCGACCCAAACCAACGGCCCCUAUUUUCUUCUCGCACAACCAUUCUCCAACUCAAAAAUUCCAGCCACCGAACAACGCACACAGUUACGCAAACAAACAGAUUAUGGAGUAAUUUUUGAGUUCGAUGCGUGUGGAGGUUGCUGUUGAAGGCAGCCUGUUCCGAAUUCGAUAAGGUUUUCGGUUCGAGGUCUCGAUUUCGCUUGCCGUUCCUGUUUGAUUUUGCUGCUAUUGUUUUGUUCGAAUUUGAAAGAUAAGUUUGAUCGAGGUUGGUUUCAGUUCGAGCCUCAUUGCUGGUUCAGGUCCAUUUAAUUUUGUUCAUCUCUAUUUUUUAUUGUUGGAUGCUCGAUUUUGUCUCAAAUCUGAACUCAGAAGUUUGUACAUAUUGAUUGUCAAAACCUUAAAGAAAUUUUGGCU